rnacentral:rRNA from 1 species
UACGGAGGGAGCUAGCGUUGUUCGGAAAUACUGGGCGUAAAGCGCACGUAGGCGGCGCAGCAAGUCAGGGGUGAAAUCCCGGGGCUCAACCCCGGAACUGCCCUUGAAACUGCAGUGCUAGAAUUCUGGAGAGGCGAGUGGAAUUCCGAGUGUAGAGGUGAAAUUCGUAGAUAUUCGGAAGAACACCAGUGGCGAAGGCGACUCGCUGGACAGAUAUUGACGCUGAGGUGCGAAAGCGUGGGGAGCAAACAGG